GACGAACGCUGGCGGCGUGCUUAACACAUGCAAGUCGAACGGUGAAGCCCUUCGGGGUGGAUCAGUGGCGAACGGGUGAGUAACACGUGAGCAACCUGCCCCUGGCUCUGGGACAACCACUGGAAACGGUGGCUAAUACCGGAUACGACCCGCCUCGGCAUCGAGUGUGGGUGGAAAGUUUUUCGGCUGGGGAUGGGCUCGCGGCCUAUCAGCUUGUUGGUGAGGUGAAGGCUCACCAAGGCGACGACGGGUAGCCGGCCUGAGAGGGCGACCGGCCACACUGGGACUGAGACACGGCCCAGACUCCCACGGGAGGCAGCAGUGGGGAAUAUUGCACAAUGGGCGAAAGCCUGAUGCAGCGACGCCGCGUGAGGGAUGACGGCCUUCGGGUUGUAAACCUCUUUCAGCUCCGAAGAAGCGAAAGUGACGGUAGGAGCAGAAGAAGCACCGGCUAACUACGUG
rnacentral:rRNA from 1 species